rnacentral:rRNA from 1 species
CCCAGACUCCUACGGGAGGCAGCAGUGAGGAAUAUUGGUCAAUGGUCGGGAGACUGAACCAGCCAAGCCGCGUGAGGGAGGAAGGUACAGAGUAUCGUAAACCUCUUUUGUCAGGGAACAAAGACUGGGACGCGUCCCCGGAUGAGUGUACCUGAAGAAAAAGCAUCGGCUAACUCCGUGCCAGCAGCCGCGGUAAUACGGAGGAUGCGAGCGUUAUCCGGAUUUAUUGGGUGUAAAGGGAGCGUAGACGGCAGCGCAAGUCUGAAGUGAAAUGCCGGGGCUUAACCCCGGAACUGCUUUGGAAACUGUGCAGCUAGAGUGCAGGAGAGGUAAGUGGAAUUCCUAGUGUAGCGGUGAAAUGCGUAGAUAUUAGGAGGAACACCAGUGGCGAAGGCGGCCAACUGGGCUUUAACUGACGCUGAGGCUCGAAAGUGUGGGGAGCAAACAGGAUUAGAUACCCCCGUAC